rnacentral:rRNA from 1 species
GUCUACGGCCACGCCACCCUGAACAAGCCCGAUGCUGUCUGAUCUCGGAAGCUAAGCAGGGUCGGGCCUGGUUAGUACUUGGAUGAGAGACCACCUAGGAAGACCGAGUGCUGUAAGCG